GACGAACGCUGGCGGCGUGCUUAACACAUGCAAGUCGAACGGAAAGGCCCUGCUUGCCGGGUGCUCGAGUGGCGAACGGGUGAGUAACACGUGGGUGAUCUGCCCCUUACUUUGGGAUAAGCCUGGGAAACUGGGUCUAAUACUGGAUAGGACCAUGCUGUAGGUGGUGUGGUGGAAAGAUUAGUUUCGGUAAGGGAUGAGCUCGCGGCCUAUCAGCUUGUUGGUGGGGUAAUGGCCUACCAAGGCGUCGACGGGUAGCCGGCCUGAGAGGGUGGACGGCCACAUUGGGACUGAGAUAUGGCCCAGACUCCUACGGGAGGCAGCAGUGGGGAAUAUUGCACAAUGGGCGCAAGCCUGAUGCAGCGACGCCGCGUGGGGGAUGACGGCCUUCGGGUUGUAAACUCCUUUCAGCCAUGACGAAGCCCUUGUGGUGACGGUAGUGGUAGAAGAAGCACCGGCUAACUACGUG
rnacentral:rRNA from 1 species